rnacentral:rRNA from 1 species
AGCGAACGCUGGCGGCAGGCUUAGCACAUGCAAGUCGAGCGGGCGUAGCAAUACGUCAGCGGCAGACGGGUGAGUAACGCGUGGGAACAUACCUCUUGGUUCGGAACAACACAGGGAAACUUGUGCUAAUACCGGAUAAGCCCUUACGGGGAAAGAUUUAUCGCCGAGAGAUUGGCCCGCGUCUGAUUAGCUAGUUGGUGAGGUAACGGCUCACCAAGGCGACGANCAGUAGCUGGUCUGAGAGGAUGAUCAGCCACAUUGGGACUGAGACACGGCCCAAACUCCUACGGGAGGCAGCAGUGGGGAAUAUUGGACAAUGGGCGCAAGCCUGAUCCAGCCAUGCCGCGUGUGUGAUGAAGGCCUUAGGGUUGUAAAGCACUUUCGUCCGGGACGAUAAUGACGGUACCGGAAGAAGAGCCCCGGCUAACUUCGUGCCAGCAGCCGCAGUAA